rnacentral:rRNA from 1 species
UUCCUACGGGAGGCAGCAGUGGGGGAUAUUGCACAAUGGGGGGAACCCUGAUGCAGCGACGCCGCGUGAGCGAAGAAGUACCUCGGUAUGUAAAGCUCUAUCAGCAGGGAAGAAAAUGACGGUACCUGACUAAGAAGCCCCGGCUAAAUACGUGCCAGCGGCCGCGGUAAUACGUAUGGGGCAAGCGUUAUCCGGAUUUACUGGGUGUAAAGGGAGCGUAGACGGUGCGCCAAGUCUGGAGUGAAAUGCCGCAGCUUAACUGCGGAACUGCUUUGGAAACUGGCGAACUAGAGUGCGGGAGGGGG